rnacentral:lncRNA from 1 species
AGCUUAUGGGUGAAAGGCUAGGUGGUCAGGACGGCAGAGUGCGACAAUGUGACUUCUAGUUCCAUUCUUACCACAUGUAUGAGACUCCUUCCUCACAAAACUACCCUAAGAACCAAAAAAAAAAGUUCUCGCAUAAAAGCUAUGUUCUGCAUUACGUUUUUCAGGGAUGAAUUGAAUUUGCUUCAUAUUGGAUUUCUUAGUUUUGGUUCUUUGCUUUCUGUUAUUCAGGGAUGAAUUGAAUUUGCAUCGUAUUGGAUUUUUUCGUUUUUGUUCUUUGCUUUCUACCCAUGUAAUUGCUGGAAGGUAAAUCUUCAUAUCUUAAGAGUUCAAUGUUUAUAGCACUGUAGGAAAAAUCGAUCCGAAACAGUUAAUUGGACAUGGGAUUGAAGCGGUUACUUGAUAUUAACCGGUAAAUCUGCCGGUUCAAUCGGCCAAACUGGGCAAG